GCCAGUGUGGUCUAGUGGUUUGACCGUUGGACAACAACCCUGGAGACCAGGGUUCAAUUCCCAGCUUGGCCA